ensembl:snRNA U2 U2 spliceosomal RNA
AUUGCUUCUCGGCCUUUUGGCUAAGAUCAAGUGUAGUUCUUAAGCCCCACAAAAAGUGAAAUUCAUUCAGGUACUGUCAAAGAAAAUUGUUUGUGGCUUUUUCUCUGAAAAUUGUAUUAACUGUUAUAGUUGAAUGAUAAAUUU